AUUGGACGCUGGCGGCAGGCUUAACACAUGCAAGUCGAACGCCCCGCAAGGGGAGUGGCAGACGGGUGAGUAACGCGUGGGAACGUGCCCUUCGCUUCGGAAUAGUCCCGGGAAACUGGGUUUAAUACCGAAUACGCCGUAUUGGGAAAGAUUUAUCGGCGAAGGAUCGGCCCGCGUUAGAUUAGGUAGUUGGCGGUGUAAUGGACCACCAAGCCUACGAUCUAUAGCUGGUCUGAGAGGAUGAUCAGCUACACUGGGACUGAGACACGGCCCAGACUCCUACGGGAGGCAGCAGUGGGGAAUCUUGGACAAUGGGCGCAAGCCUGAUCCAGCCAUGCCGCGUGAGUGAAGAAGGCCUUAGGGUUGUAAAACUCUUUCGCCGGAGAAGAUAAUGACGGUAUCCGGAGAAGAAGCCCCGGCUAACUUCGUGCCAGCCGCCGCAGUAAUAC
rnacentral:rRNA from 1 species